rnacentral:rRNA from 1 species
AACGAACGCUGGCGGCAUGCCUAACACAUGCAAGUCGAACGAGACCUUCGGGUCUAGUGGCGCACGGGUGCGUAACGCGUGGGAACCUGCCCUUAGGUUCGGAAUAACUCCCCGAAAGGGGUGCUAAUACCGGAUAAUGUCUUCGGACCAAAGAUUUAUCGCCUUUGGAUGGGCCCGCGUCGGAUUAGCUAGUUGGUAGGGUAAAAGCCUACCAAGGCGACGAUCCAUAGCUGGUCUGAGAGGAUGAUCAGCCACACUGGGACUGAGACACGGCCCAGACUCCUACGGGAGGCAGCAGUGGGGAAUAUUGGACAAUGGGCGAAAGCCUGAUCCAGCAAUGCCGCGUGAGUGAUGAAGGCCUUAGGGUUGUAAAGCUCUUUUACCCGGGACGAUAAUGACAGUACCGGGAGAAUAAGCGCCGGCUAACUCCGUG